AUGAGUUAUUUUAAAGAAUAAAAAUUAUUUUAGUAUCAAAUCCUUCUCUCAAGAAAUACUUAUUAGGUCCCUACUCUACCCAGGUAUUAUGCUAGGGCCUAAAGAUUUGAAGAUGAAAUUGUGUGUGAUCUUUGCCUCAGGGAGCUCCUGGUUUCCAGGGUGGAACACACACGCACAAGACCCAGGGAGUAAAAUCAAGGCGGCACAAGGAAGAGAGCAAUCCUGCUCAGCUGUGAUAACCAACGCUUCACCUCCACGAGGCUCCUAAGCCCUUGAGACAACCUGGGUCCGUGAUUCUCAUCACUGUCAGCCCAGCUGUGAAACCCCUCCUAAGACCUAAAGAGUGGAACCUCCAAAGCCUGGGGAUCUGCAACUUCAUAUCCCUUUCAUCACCUGGGAGAAGAACCCUCCUUCCUCUGAUAACAAGACUGAGCGAUAAGAGAGGUGAGUGACUUGUUAAUGUUAUGCAGCAAGGACAAGAAUCAAAUGCAAGCCUCAUUCCAGAGAAGGUGAGUCAGAGGCUGGACUCUGAGUCUCAUCUGUGUUCCUUGUGGACUGUCAGGCCAGGGGCAUGGAGGCUGGGUUGGUUUGGAAGAAUAGCCCACAGGAAAACAGUGUGUCUGUGUAUUUGCGCUCAGAGGUCAUUCAUGGCCUUUUAUUUGAGGGUAGUAGAAAGAGGACCUCAGGGAGUCAUCUUGCCUCAGGCUAGCCCCUCUUACCCUGAUGGGAAUAUUUCUGUAGUUCCUGACUGGUCCACUCAUGUUGCCUGAUCAUUCCAUGCUCCUUCACACAGCUGUUCUUGCUGUUGAUUCUAACCAGAAAACCCUUCCUACCCACUACUCAUGCAACAAACUCCUACGUAGUUGUCAAAACCCAGAUCCUAUGUCCCUUUUAUAAUAAUAUCAGCUAUAUAUUAAUGCUAGUAAUUAUAAUUUAGUGAGCUCCCACCAUCUCCUGGGCAGAUUGAAGUGUUGCUGUGCUUGUUCCUUUCAAUUCUCACAGUAAUUAGGCAAUAAAAAUACAUGUAUAAUUAUUUUACAUUCCUUCCAGAUGAGUAAACAACCUAGAGAGAUUGGGAAAUUUGCCUGAACUCACACAACCAAGACAUGAAGAAACAGGUCCCUCUGACUCCAGAGUUCACUCCUUUCCCCCUUACACCACAUCCCUUCUCCUGCACCAAUCACUUUGAAUGGCAAAUGCUGCUUGUCACUGUCUUUCACUCUGCAAGCCCUAAAAGGCAAGUGGUGCCACCUAUUUCAUGACUGCCACCCCAGGGCCCAGUAUGGGUCCUGCGCCCAAGGGUUCAUUCAACACCAAAAGUGUUGGAAGAGUGAGCUAUUCCAUGUGCAGAGACAGAGCCUGGAAAGCACGAGUGACAUGUUUGUCCUCGCCCUGUUCGUGGGAUAGACUUGUUAUGUCCCCUGGAGAGGUGAUAGGGGGCAGGUUGUGCCUCCUUGAGGACUUGCAGAUGUUUCCUGAGGCCCUGAGAGUAUUUCUGCUUCUUAGCUGCCUUGGCUGCCUGUCUGUGGGCGCUGCCGGGAAAGCCAGCUUCAUAGCUCUGCUGGUGUGAAUGUCAACAGCCAAUUGUAGCCAGCUCUCUGGAAAUUUCACUGACAUAUCAAGACCACUAGGGGCCCAGGAAGUUGAGUCCCCAUCACCAGCUAGUUGGAUUCCUGCAGGAUCUUUGUGGUACACACAGUGAUACAGCGUAGUUGACCCCUUGAGCUUGGCUGUCAGCUCUUGCUUUGAAAAUCAUCUCUCCCCCUUACUAAAUUUGUGGCUAUAGGGCAAGUUUCUCAACCUUUCUUAACCUCAAUUACUUAAUAUUUAACAGAGUAAUUGCCUCCUUUUCAAGGUCACAGAUAGAAGGAGAUAAUGUAGUUAAAGCCCUAACCAUCUGUGCUAGCACAGUGCUUGCAUACGAUGCUAAUUAUGAUCAUAACACAAUUAUUAUUGAACUAUCCAUAGUAGAUUUUUGUUGUUUGAUACUAAGAAUCCUAUUAUUAGUUAGGGGAGCAGAAUAGUUUUUAGAAGGAUAGGCAGGUCCUUUGGUCCUAACUGCUAGAUUCUCCCGGUCCUGGAUGAGUCCUACCCCAGGAUGAGACACCUUUAGCAUGAGCAUGUGUUAUUCUAGAGUCCAGUUCCUAGGGUAACCCUGCAAAUGGAGAGGUCUCAGCAAGAUGAGACCCCCACUCCUGAAUCCCAGACAGCAUACAGCCAUUUUCCAUCCCAACCACCUCACACAGGAUCAAACAAUUAAGUUAUUUAAAAUAUUUAGUAUUAUUUGAAGAAAGAGACAAUAGUUUUAUAUUGAAUAAUAUUUAAAAGUUAGGAAACAUUUUCACAAGGAUUAUUUAAUUGACAUUACAUAAGCACACACCCACAGAAAAGGAACAUUGGCUUUAUUUAAACUCCAUUCAAAUAUUUCUUGAGCUCAGCCAGUUAUCAUGUGCAGACCUCCAGGGAAGAAAACGAUUGACUUGUGCAGUUUUAGUUUCCAGUAUUUUCUGCGGACAUUCUUUCGUGUACACUUUUUCAAGUCUCGCUGAACUUGGUCAUUUUUAAGCUUCAAACAGACAGACAUUUGGUACCUGGGUAGUUUCCACUUCAUGCUAUUAUAUAUACUAUCAAUUUUUUUUUUUGGUAAAACAAAGUUUUAAAACAAAUUUUGAAAGUAUUUACUUAGGACAAAUCACCAGAAAGGGACUCAGGAGCCAAAGGACAGGAAUAGGUUUUUUUUGUUGUUGUUCUUGUUACUUAAGGUUAGGUCAUUCUGAAAAAAGAUAAAAUGAAGUCAUGGAGAUUGUGCAGGCAUUCACUUCUGGUCUGAAAUAGGAAAGAAAUACAGAAACCAUGCCAGUGAGAUGACAAGGCACUCUGCUGAGCCAGGCAGCAUUUUCUGGAAGGGUUUGGAAUUUUUUUUUUCCAUGGGCACAUUUUCCGCUGAUAUCCCAGCCCUCUGACUGUCAGUUUACUCAGAGCUGCCACACCCCUGCCUCAACUGCCUUUGCAGGAAUUGCGCAGUAGAAGUUUACUCAGAGUGGAGCACAUUCUAGAAUCUCUCAUGAAUUCCCAAGAGUCAGAUGUCUGCAGUGGGCAGGAAGAAAUGGUUUCCCUGAAAAAGGCAGUGCAGCCUGGUGGAGGAAUGCUCUGCGCUGGCCAAGCAGGGCCCUGCUUCAGCUGCCGACUCCACAGGUAGUUCCCCGCCUGGAUGGCAGAGACUGAUGUUACACAAUUUUAGACACAUUCCUUUGGCUCAGGACUUUGACUCUUGAUAAAAUAUGGGACUCCCAGGAGACAGCACAGUACCAUUUAUAUCCCAGGGUGACAUUUUACCAAAGCAGACUCUGAAAACAGGCCUAGUUGGGGUAGGAAGUGAAGAGCUCCCAUGAAGACCCCAGAAGUGAAGGAAGGAGCUCCAUGAAGGAGGUGAAGCUGGAGUCCAGCCUUCUAUAUUUCACAAAAUCUUCUAAAACCUAGGCAUCCUUCUCUAGUCAGGAGGACAUUGUACCUGGGGGAACUGCAGACCAGUCCUCCUGAAGUUGGUUGGCCAGACAGAAACCCGGGGUGGAUUUUUCCUGUUGGGUUUGAUAACUGAGCUGCAGAUGCCAGUGGAGUCGCCUUGGGGACGUGCCCAGCCACAUGUAUGCAAACACUAGGCCUCCACAGUUAUUACCACAAUGAGACUGUGAUUUCUGCUUUGCUGUGGCUCUGGAAGGGGAAGCAUCGCCAUGAUUUAAUCUUUACCUCAGCUCAGUACAGUAAGCAAGCUGUGGCUCACACCAAAACCUCCUCUCAGAUUUUAUCUCCUUUCCCAGUUCUCCGUAUUCACUGGGUUCUACUCAUUCAGGCUUGUUUUUCCCUUGGAUGAACUAAGCUUGUUUCUUUGUUCCUGCUCCUUGAUCUUCCUGCCCCUGCUUCCUUGAAUGCAUCAGCUCAGGGGGGACCUUUUCCAACAUGGCUUCCUUGGCCAUUCCAGUGGAAGUGUCACGCUGCCGUGAGUCAUUAUCCCAUUACCAGCCUGUGUUUUCUUCUUAGUACUGUCCUUUCCUGAAACUAUCUUAUUUAUUUACAUACCCAUGUGUUGUCCAGCUCCCUAACCCAAUUCCAUAACUUCAACGAAAAUCACAUCAGAGACUUUCUGCUCCCUGCACGGAGCUGAGAACAGUGCUGGCACCUACAAGGGAAUCCAUCCAAGAAUCUCAGGCAGAGAUGCCCUAUCCUUUCUUCCCUCAGCUUUAUUAUCGUUUUUUCCAAAGUGGGAGACAGAUUAUAUAUAUAUAUCAGCUUGGCAGGGGAAGAGCACCAGGUGGGGAAAGGCUGGGCUGCAUGCAGGUUGGAGUUCCUGCCUAACUUAGCAGCUUCACUUGUGUGAUGUGGGAACCUCCUACCCAAAUCUGCAGAAGUAGCAGACUUGGUCUGUUGGUUUCCAGGGGGUUGAGCCAGAUCCAGUGGGCAGAAGUUCAUGGAUACAGAGCUUAAUUCAAUGUAAAAGGAACUUUCAAAUGGAGCUGACAGGAAGCAGAAUGGUCACACUUCCGCCUACUUGGGCUACCUUUGCAUCAUGUCUAUCUCUCACCACCAUCAGCCUCUGUGUGGUCUGCCACCAACCUGCAAGCCCAUAGAGCUCAUUGGUGUCUGGAAUGAGACCCCAGCACGGAGGCUGGCAAUUCUGCAUUGCUGAGGGAACUAAACCAGAUGGUCUCUGUGGGCCAUUUCAUCUCCUAUUUCAGGGUCUUGGCUGAGAAUAGUUCAUUUCUAAUCCACAUUUUGUGGACUACAGUGCGUCCAGGGAGGAGAGGGUGACAGACUGGAUUAAGUUGUUAAUGGUGUGCCGGGGUUAAAGCUCGGUGACCCACGGUCCAGUGCACUGGUUAGUGACCACAUCCGCCCUCCUGCUGUUUGUGUACCAUGGAAAGCUGAUCAUCUGCAUCAGGAAUGCAGCAGAACCAAGAAGAAACAGGAGUUCCAGGCCUGGUUCUACUGCCAGUUGCUGUGUGAGCUUGAACUGGGAAGACUCAGAAUGUUUGGAUUAUAGCUAGACACUUCAGAACACCCUCUCUUCUGACUCUAACAUUCUAGGACUCAACUAGGAAACCCCAGACUUGAAAAAAACUAGGCCUGUCUCAAGGGCUCAAGCUCAGGCUCCUGUUCUUCAGUAGCUCAUCUUUCUUAGUUGACAGCCUGGAACAGAACCAAGACCUCUGACCCUUGUCAUCAGCAGCUCAAGUCUUCUCAGAGUGUUUGUUCACAGCUCUGGCUGGGCAGAUGACACAAGUGUGUAAUCUGUCAGAGGAUGGAGCCUGAGACAUCCAUCAUGACAGACACAAGCUGAAUCGAGUCCAGAGGCAUCCUGGAGGGUGUCCCACCAAUGCCCCUGACUGGCCUACUCAUCCAGAAGGCAGGAGAGGGACUUUGUGCAUCUCUAGGAAAGUGUAGGGAUUCCUUGGGCAGCAUUUAUGCCAAGGGCUCCUUGUAUGUGGCAGCCCUGGGCAGGCUGCCUGGUGGUUCAAAACCUGGAGCAGGAAGGGAAUGUAAUGACAAGGAGCCUUUUCAUGAUGUCUAAUGUAGUUUCAUGAUGUUUUGGUCUAGUUGCUUCUCUGACACUCAUCUCCAUCUUUGGCAUAACCAUGCAGGAAGAUCAGGGAAGCCUAAUGCUGUAUUCUUAGACUGUUCCCUGUCCUCUGCUCUUUUCCCAUAGAGAUGACAGGCUCGAAACACCCAAUAUUUGAGUAAACAUUUCCCAAGCCACUUCUCUAAGCUAACUCCAGCUUAUUAACUGGGGUUAAAAGUGAAUUUAUUAACUUUUUAAUACUCUGAUAUAUAUACAUGUAUACGUAUAUAUAUGAUUCUCACAGGAAUAGGCGUUUCAUGGUGCAUAAGUUGUGUAGAUCACAGCAAAGGGAUGGAUAUGCUGUCUUUUUCUUUCUCUCUCUCUUUUCUUUCUUUCUUUGUUUGUUUGUUUCUUUCUUUCCUUCUUUCCCUCUUUCUUUUUCUUCUACUGGGGAUGGAACUCAGGACCUUGUGCUUGCGAGGUAGGCAUGGUGCCACUGAGCUAAAUUCCCAGCC